AUUUCUGCAUGUAUCGAAUACAAUUUGGCUCUCGCGUUUCACUCACAACAAAGUCUGGAACGAGAUAAAGCGAAGGGCCUAAGUUACACCCACCAAAAUGACAAGUUUGACAGCUGAUGACAAUCAUUUAUAUUGAAUAUGCAAUGCUUGGCUUGGUUAACGGUACCUCUGCAUGUGGUCGGUCGUCGUAGGCGUUGUGUGAUAAUUAAAUUAAAGAAGCAAGCAAACUCACCGCAAUUUUAUUCAGGCGAGAAGCAGGCGAUAUGAUGGAUGCCCUUCCUUUGUUCGUUAUUCCCUUAGGACACACAUGACAACCAAGAAUUGCUGUUGUCAAAAUUAUUAUUAUUGUUUGCCUGAUGAGAUGAAGACAAGAAAGAGCUUUGGCUGAAAAACGUGAAAAGCAAUGUUACAAUUCGUUCGUUGAAGUUUGGUGAAGAAGCCAUUAUCUUUAAAGCGAUGUGCGGAUAUAAUCAACAACAACUCGAUUUUCACGUUUGCCAGCGUCAGGAAUACGUCUAAAAAGUUUAGUCACAGCCACAAACGAAGAAUAAUGUUUACGAAGCUCAAAGCCACAUGUUAAGAAGAAGCCAUUAUCUAUAAAGUUGAAAGCGAUGUGCUAACAACUUGAUUUUCACGUUUGCCAGCGUCAGGAAUACUUUCAAAGAAGUUUUGACACCGCCAUACACGAAGUAUAAUGUUUACGAAGCGCAAAGCCACAUGUUGUGACAAGCUGAUGAAAAAGCUCGAGUAUCUGUUCAAGGAUUAUCGACG